AUUGAACGCUGGCGGAAUGCUUUACACAUGCAAGUCGAACGGCAGCACGGGGGCAACCCUGGUGGCGAGUGGCGAACGGGUGAGUAAUACAUCGGAACGUGCCCGGUCGUGGGGGAUAACGUAGCGAAAGUUACGCUAAUACCGCAUACGAUCUGAGGAUGAAAGCGGGGGACCUUCGGGCCUCGCGCGAUCGGAGCGGCCGAUGUCAGAUUAGGUAGUUGGUGGGGUAAAGGCCUACCAAGCCGACGAUCUGUAGCUGGUCUGAGAGGACGACCAGCCACACGGGGACUGAGACACGGCCCAGACUCCUACGGGAGGCAGCAGUGGGGAAUUUUGGACAAUGGGCGCAAGCCUGAUCCAGCCAUUCCGCGUGCAGGACGAAGGCCUUCGGGUUGUAAACUGCUUUUGUAUGGAACGAAAAGGCUCUGGCUAAUACCUGGGGCUCAUGACGGUACCGUAAGAAUAAGCACCGGCUAACUACGUG
rnacentral:rRNA from 1 species